ACACCCUCCACGUGGGAGUAGUAAAGCAAAAGCCCUGAAGCUUUUCCAUCCUUACAGACAAGUUAAACCAUCAAAACCUAGAUGAUAUUUCUACUGACUUCCACAAGCUUUUGAUGAGCCUCAGCAUGGGCUGGGAAGCCCAGAGAAGCAAAUCCAGCUCACAAGACCUUCUACCAUCCACGCUCACUAGAUGGUCAGCCCAUCAAAGCCACUUCCUUGUUAGGGAGUCCAUAAUCUUCUCCUUUCUUGUUCUCUCCUGAAACUCGAUGUUCCCAACAUAGUGAUGCCAUUUGACAUUGCUGAUCCCUCCUAAACACCUGCUAUCAAAUGCAUCAAAUCUUUUCUUGUCAGCUUGCGUAAUGCCCCAGGUCUUUGCAGUAUCAAGCAAAACUGAUACCACACAGCUGUUGUAGAGCCUUAUUUUUUGUUUUGCGGACAUGUCACUGCCCCAUACUUUUGCCCUUGAAUUUAUUUACAUUGAUCUUCACCUUAUACUGGUCAAGCUUAAAAUGACAUCAGGCAAAAUCCGGGGAGAGUGGACCAGAACUCUGGGAAUGGGAAUAAUACAAAAACACGAACGCUGCCACGAUUACGACUGACCUCAAAGAGGAAGGACAAAUCCAGUGUUCCUAUUCCUCAACAGACCCAAAGUCAUGAUUUAACCGAAAGCUUUGAUAUUUGUUUCCUCUGAAAGUUUCAAUUUUUAGGAACUUUUUUAAACGUGAUCGCUAGCCUUUGGGCUCACCAAAGAGGAGCCAAGACUCUAAUACUUGUUAAUAGCUCAACAUGCUGUAUUGUGAAUCCCCUUAGGGACAGAAGACAGUGGAUCUUAAAUAACGCAUUAAGGAUGAAGGAUGGGUUUUCUUUUUCAAAAGAGAAAACUUGUGAUACAGCUGAAUUUAUUGAUGAAGUUCUGCAGUGAAAUUUAAAAAGGAAAUAACAGAGGGGGGAAAAAGUGGAAGUAAAAGCUCUGUGCAUAAUUGUUUUCAUUUGUCCAGAGACAAUAACCAUCUCAGAAAUCAUUCGGCCAGGCAGUGCUGCUCACUGCACCAAAACACAAUAAGAAAUCCAACAAAGACAUCAAGAUAUUAAUCAAUUUUCUCAAUUCCUGUAAAAAACACCUAGCAACAAAGCAAAAUAAACUCCCAUCUGGUUAA